rnacentral:ncRNA from 1 species
AGUGGUUUGACGUUACGUCCGUUGGAUUAUGCUUGACGCCUUUUAAGGUCGUAUCGGUGCUGGACUGCAAUGAUAAAUAAGGGGCAAUUUGCAUUGUAUGGCUUCUAAACCAUUAAAAGUUUUUAAUUUGUUUUAUUAACGACAAUGGAUGUGAUGCCAAUGUUAUUUAUAACAUAGUAAAUUGGGAGGAUCUUCGAUCACCUGAUGCCGCGCUAGUUAUAUUUUAAAACAUUAUUUAAUACAAUGUCAAAGCCUAGAAUCAAUUGUAAACGACUUUUGUAACAGGCAAGGUGUUGUAAGUGGUUGAGCAGCUGCCAUACUGCGAUCCACUGAAGCUUAUCCUUUGCUUGAUGAUUCGA